rnacentral:rRNA from 1 species
AUUGAACGCUGGCGGCAUGCCUUACACAUGCAAGUCGAACGGCAGCACGGGAGCAAUCCUGGUGGCGAGUGGCGAACGGGUGAGUAAAGCAUCGGAACGUGCCCAGUCGUGGGGGAUAACGUAGCGAAAGCUACGCUAAUACCGCAUACGAUCUGUGGAUGAAAGCGGGGGACCGUAAGGCCUCGCGCGAUUGGAGCGGCCGAUGUCAGAUUAGGUAGUUGGUGAGGUAAAGGCUCCCCAAGCCGACGAUCUGUAGCUGGUCUGAGAGGACGACCCGCCACACUGGGACUGAGACACGGCCCAGACUCCUACGGGAGGCAGCAGUGGGGAAUUUUGGACAAUGGGCGCAAGCCUGAUCCAGCAAUGCCGCGUGCAGGAUGAAGGCCUUCGGGUUGUAAACUGCUUUUGUACGGAGCGAAACGGCUUCCACUAAUACUGGGGGCUAAUGACGGUACCGUAAGAAUAAGCACCGGCUAACUACGUGCCAGCCGCCGCAGUAACAC